UACGGAGGGUGCAAGCGUUAUCCGGAUUCACUGGGUUUAAAGGGUGCGUAGGAGGGCAGGUAAGUCAGUGGUGAAAUCUCCGAGCUUAAACUCGGAACUGCCGUUGAUACUAUCUGUCUUGAAUACCGUGGAGGUGAGCGGAAUAUGUCAUGUAGCGGUGAAAUGCUUAGAUAUGACAUAGAACACCAAUUGCGAAGGCAGCUCACUACACGAGCAUUGACUCUGAGGCACGAAAAGCGUGGGGGAUCAAAACAGGGAUUAGA
rnacentral:rRNA from 1 species